GCAGUCGACGGCAGCACGGGGGCAACCCUGGUGGCGAGUGGCGAACGGGUGAGUAAUGCAUCGGAACGUAUCCUGUAGUGGGGAAUAACUCACCGAAAGGUGAGCUAAUACCGCAUAAGCUCUGAGGAGGAAAGCGGGGGACCGAAAGGCCUCGCGCUGCAGGAGCGGCCGAUGUCCGAUUAGCUAGUUGGUGAGGUAAAGGCUCACCAAGGCGACGAUCGGUAGCUGGUCUGAGAGGAUGAUCAGCCACACUGGGACUGAGACACGGCCCAGACUCCUACGGGAGGCAGCAGUGGGGAAUUUUGGACAAUGGGGGAAACCCUGAUCCAGCCAUGCCGCGUGAGUGAAGAAGGCCUUCGGGUUGUAAAGCUCUUUCGGACGGAACGAAAUUGCUUGGACUAAUACUCUGAGUAGAUGACGGUACCGUAAGAAGAAGCACCGGCUAACUACGUGCCAGCAGCCGCGGUAAUACGUAGGGUGCGAGCGUUAAUCGGAAUUACUGGGCGUAAAGCGUGCGCAGGCGGUUGCCUAAGCCAGGCGUGAAAUCCCCGGGCUUAACCUGGGAAUGGCGCUUGGGACUGGGCAGCUAGAGUGCGGCAGAGGGAGGUGGAAUUCCACGUGUAGCAGUGAAAUGCGUAGAUAUGUGGAGGAACACCAAUGGCGAAAGCAGCCUCCUGGGCCGGCACUGACGCUCAUGCACGAAAGCGUGGGGAGCAAACAGGAUUAGAUACCCU
rnacentral:rRNA from 1 species